AGGAACAACCAGAAUUAGGCAGUGACUUGCUCAGUUAGAAUUUGGCGGAAACCAGCACGACUCUUGAAUGAAUCGCUCCCACAGGAAAUGAAGACGCCGAAGGUUCGACUGAGCACAAAUGCAGCUACAGAAGAUCUUGACCUCCUAAAGUCUCAAACAGAGAUGAAUGUGUAGGCGAAAUUCGCUCAUAUCUAAAGACACAGGAAUAAGAUGCGUAAAACUGUUAGUGUUGAUUCGUUGAUACAACGAGUGUGACCAGAAUAUUUUGGCGACAUGAAAUACAAGACUGCGAAAACCAGAAACCAGGUGCAAAGAGCGCAGUAAACCGAAGUGCGCACAUCUUUCUGCUCAUCUACUGGUUCGGAUAUCACAGCUUCUACAAUCCAGGUUUACCAUUCAGCGCAAAGCGCAGAAGAGCGAACCUUCUUAUCGCAAAGAAAAACAGGUCAAAAAGCAAGAAGAAAAACUUGAAUUCGUUUUUCUUAGCGACAAAAGCGUUUGGGCAUCGAAAGCUAAAACAUAUUUCUGGCGCUCUUCAUCAACUCAUACUCUGCACUAACGGUGUAAAUAUUUAAUUGUGACACAAUUCUGACACUAACACUUAAAAAAACGACAAUAAAAUGUCUUGAUGACUUCUUUUUAAAUGGGCUGUAGGGAUGAGAAUGUUUUGAGUUAUACAUUUUGCUUGACCCUGUAACAACCACACACCGUUCUGCAUGAAUAAAGGAUGAAAUAAUUUGUGCAAA